CCGAGGCUAAUCUUUGGAAACAACAGAGCAAAUCACUGCCAGUUCUGUGAGAUAAGGUAUGCCAGCGGAUUAUAAAUAAACUGAACCCACUCUCCUUUCCUCGUCUUCCCACCACAGUACGUGGAGCAAUGUAGACCUGCGUUCAAAGAUCUGGACCCUGGCCCUUACUGAUGUAGGUUCCACUGAGGUUCUCCACUCUUUACAAGUCCACUCAGACACUCAAAUGGAUCUUCCAGAUGGUUCCCUGGUCUAAGGUGGAGAUUUUGGGAAUGCACAAUUCCUCUUUAUUACUUUCCUGUGAUCAUUCCCUUUUGGUUUGCUGGCUAGUACUUUCUGUACUGCAAAGACAUCUCACGAUACAAACUAUUUUCAGAAAGGGAAUAGCAAAAGCUGCCAAUUUGAUAUAACAGACUACUCAGUUUGUUGAUAUUUUAAUACCG